CGAUGGCGACGGCGAGGCCGCCCAAGGUCAUGGAGUUCACGCUCACGCCGAACAGUUUGAAAACCAGCAGCGUGAUGGAGAAGGACAGUGGCAUCGCCAUCAGCGUGAUGAAGGUGGUGCGGAGGUUGAACAGGAACAGGAAGAGGACGAUCGCCACCAUGACGGCGCCGACGAAAAUCGCUUCCUUCAGGUUUCCGAUGGCGUGGUCGAUGAAAUCCGCCUGGCGGAAGAGCGGCGCCAGUUCCACCUUGGCCGGGAGAUCCUUCUGGAGUUCCUUGAGCGCUUCCUCGAUCUGUUGGGUCAGUUU
rnacentral:misc_RNA from 1 species